AGUGAACGCUGGCGGUAGGCCUAACACAUGCAAGUCGAACGGCAGCACAGUAAGAGCUUGCUCUUACGGGUGGCGAGUGGCGGACGGGAGAGGAAUACAUCCGAAUCUACUUUUUCGUGGGGGUUCACGUAGGGAAACUUACUCUAAUACCGCAUACGACCUACGGGUGAAAGCAGGGGAUCUUCGGACCUUGCGCGAUUGAAUGAGCCGAUGUCGUAUUAGCUAGUUGGCGGGGUAAUGGCCAACCAAGGCGACGAUCCGUAGCUGGACUGAGAGGAUGGUCGGCCGCACUGGAAGGUGGACGGCGUCCAGGCGACUGCGGGAGGCAGCAGUGGCGAAUAUUGGACAAUGGGCGCGAGCCUGAUCCAGCCAUACCGCGUGGGUGAAGGAGGCCUUCGGGUUGUGAAGCCCUUUUGUUGGGAAAGAAAAGCAGCAGGUUAAUACCCCGCUGUUCUGACGGUAACCAGAGAAUAAGCACCGGCUAACUUCGUG
rnacentral:rRNA from 1 species